rnacentral:rRNA from 1 species
GCGACGCCGCGUGGGGGAUGACGGCCUUCGGGUUGUAAACCUCUUUCGCCAGGGACGAAGCUUUUGUGACGGUACCUGGAGAAGAAGCACCGGCCAACUACGUGCCAGCAGCCGCGGUAACACGUAGGGUGCGAGCGUUGUCCGGAAUUAUUGGGCGUAAAGAGCUCGUAGGCGGUGUGUCGCGUCGGCCGUGAAAACCUGGGGCUUAACUCUGGGCGUGCGGUCGAUACGGGCAUCACUUGAGUUCGGCAGGGGAGACUGGAAUUCCUGGUGUAGCGGUGAAAUGCGCAGAUAUCAGGAGGAACACCGGUGGCGAAGGCGGGUCUCUGGGCCGAUACUGACGCUGAGGAGCGAAAGCGUGGGGAGCGAACAGGAUUAGAUACCCUGGUAGUCCACGCCGUAAACGUUGGGCGCUAGGUGUGGGGACCAUUCCACGGUUUCUGUGCCGCAGCUAACGCAUUAAGCGCCCCGCCUGGGGAGUACGGCCGCAAGGCUAAAACUCAAAGGAAUUGACGG